rnacentral:lncRNA from 1 species
AGCUCCAGAAGGCAUGUACUGCUUGGGUAGAGAAGGAGCUUAGGCCAGCUUGUACACAGAAGCAGACUGGGACACAAAAGAGAAUCCAGACUUCUCAGGAAGCCAAGUAGAAGGGAAGCUGAGGCUGAACUGAAGACCUACACAGAGGAAAAUUCAUUGCGGAGGCUACUCUGUGAAGAUAUUAUUUGCUAGAUUAACAGAGGACAGAGACUUCAGCACUUCAAAAGGACUUUCUGGGAAGAAUGUGCCAUAGGCAAGGCAGUGGAUACUUCCCUUUCUUACCCUGAGGAGCUGAUCAGGUCUGGAAUGUGGCAGGAGAGGUGGUAUUCAUGCAUAAAUUGCAGUGUUCAGAACAAAGCAGCUUUCCGCCCAUUCUCCCAUUCAGGUGCACUGCACAGAUGC